AACGGAGCCCUCGCUCUGAUCCAGGGACAGGUUCAUGUCGGGGGCAACCAGUGUGCGGCGCUUCCUCUGCUUCAUGGACUCCCCGACAUUCAGGCUGGUGGGAGGAUCUGCAACAACAAGCAGGUACUGCACACAGAACCAGCCGUAGACAAAUACCUGGGGAAGUCCUCGUCCUGCCACUCGUCCUUGACCUCCAUGCUGUCCAUGCGUAAAGUGGCUUCUGCUGUACCCAUCCUCUGCAGGGAGGACAGGCUUCAGCUCGCUUUGGACAACAGAAACAGGGGAUAAGUAGGGAAGAGAAAAUGGUCGUCGAAUGCGUGACAUCAUGUGAAAGUGGAUUUUUGACCCCAGCCGCUUUAGGGAAGGAGACUAAAAUAAAACACUGAUUUGCUCACACAGCAGCCGUUCCCUGAAGGCAGCACACUCAUCUCGUAUGUGCAUGUAUGUAACCAAAGCACAGGUUUUCAUCUACUGCAUUAACUUCCACUUCUGGUUUUUCGAUGCGCAUCUGCAGAGUCUGCUGUGUGUUGAAUCAUUUAUACAAGUAUCAGUCAAGCUAAGAAGAGCAAACCCAUCUAAGGGAUUUUCCUUCACAAAUAAAUCUCUGUUCCAACCUGAGUUUAUUUAACAGACGUCACCCUGGCCCAUUAGUCCAGUGGGAUGGAACUGAUUUGAUACAGUCUAUUUUUGGAUCUGAAACUGCGAUUGUGGGGUAAAAGACACAUGCUCUGUGCCUACAGGCUCCUGAUGCUGCUGUGCUGGGAUUGGGGAAUCGACGUUGACUGUUUAAACGCGCAAGUUGCAACGAUUUAUUUUGCAAUCCUAAAAACGAAAUGUUGUUUGAACCUCCUCUCACACAAAUCGGUCAUAUCUCCAUGAGCAAUGAGGACUGUAGUCACAAAUGUCACUUUGACAGCCUUGCUUGUCCAUUCAGUGAACAUCUGAGACGCAGACGCACGUGUCUGGUGAGGAUUUGGGUCCAGAUGGCAGCAGGACUGCCUUUGCCUUUGUGCCAACCAGAAUAUAAAAGAGAUGAAAAGCAAACUGUUGCUCAAGACGGUGAUUACAGGUUUUUCUCCUGACAGGUUUUGUCCCUUUGAAAUUCAGUAAAGCAGAGGAGAUCCCCCGUGAGAGAGCGAUAUUUGUGUUGGCUUGCAGCUUGAAAAGCGUUAUUGAGGAUUAAAGAUAACUCGGAUGAAAGGAUUCAUUACAAGCUCAGUUAUCUCAACUUGUUUGUCUUUAUCUAAAGGCAAAAGGGAGAGAUGAUAAGGCCUGGAAACGUUAGAAAUCCUCUGCAGCAUUUAAUGCCCCUCACAAAAUAAACAGUAAUAAAAGACUUAGCUUGGUAAUGCUCUAUUUAAUAAUAUGAUCUAAAAUAAUUUGCUUUGUGAAAAGAUCACCUCGUUUCUUUAGAAUAAACUGUUUAGCCCUGAAGCUAGCUCAUUUUCUGCUGUAAUCUCCUAGCUAAAACCUGAAAACAAGUGAAAACAUUUUCAAUAAACUACAAUAAAAGUUAAUAAUCUUUGAAUUUCUAAAGAUGCAGUUUUCACUUCAAAACUGGAAGUUGACCUUUCACCUACUAGAGCUGAUUUUAGGUCAUUGGUUGUUAUGUUCAAAACGUUUUUGCUGAAUGUUUGUCCGUCUUAUAGGAAUAAUGUUACUUUGUCCUUGUAGAUCAGGGGUGUUGAACUCAUUUUCAUGAUGGGUCAUGUCAAAAUCAGUUUGUCCUGAAUGUAUUGAUAAAACCCAUUAAAUUGUAAUUUAAUUUUUAUUUUAA